rnacentral:rRNA from 1 species
CCUACGGGCGGCAGCAGUGAGGAAUAUUGGUCAAUGGACGAGAGUCUGAACCAGCCAAGUAGCGUGAAGGAUGACUGCCCUAUGGGUUGUAAACUUCUUUUAUAAAGGAAUAAAACGAGGCACGUGUGCCUUUUUGCAUGUACUUUAUGAAUAAGGAUCGGCUAACGCCGUGCCAGCAGCCGCGGUAAUACGGAGGAUCCGAGCGUUAUCCGGAUUGAUUGGGUGUAAGGGGAGCGUAGAUGGGUUGUUAAGUCAGUUGUGAAAGUUUGCGGCUCAACCGUAAAAUUGCAAUUGAUACUGGCAGUCUUGAGUACAGUUGAGGUAGGCGGAAUUCGUGGUGUAGCGGUGAAAUGCUUAGAUAUCACGAAGAACCCCGAUUGCGAAGGCAGCUUACUAAACUGUGACUGAUAUUGAUGCUCGAAAGUGUGGGUAUCAAACAGGAUUAGAUACCCUGGUAGUC